AACGUAGGAGACGAACGUUAUCCGGAGUUACUGGGCGUAAAGGGCGUGUAGGCUGUUUGUUAAGUCUGGCGUGAAAGCUCUCGGCUAAACCGGGAGAGGUCGUUGGAUACUGGCGAACUAGAGGAUGGUAGAGGCGUGUGGAAUUCCGGGUGUAGUGGUGAAAUGCGUAGAGAUCCGGAGGAACACCAGUGGCGAAGGCGACACGCUGGGCCAUACCUGACGCUAAAGCGCGACAGCAUGGGGAGCAAACGGG
rnacentral:rRNA from 1 species